rnacentral:rRNA from 1 species
UACGAAGGGGGCUAGCGUUGUUCGGAUUUACUGGGCGUAAAGCGCACGUAGGCGGAUCGUUAAGUCGGGGGUGAAAUCCUGGAGCUCAACUCCAGAACUGCCUUCGAUACUGGCGAUCUUGAGUCCGGAAGAGGUGAGUGGAACUCCUAGUGUAGAGGUGGAAUUCGUAGAUAUCAGGAGGAACACCGGUGGUGUAGACGGCUUUCUGGACCGUAACUGACGCUGAGACACGAAAGCGUGGGUAGCAAACAGG